GCCCAGCUCCAGUGUUUCCACACAUCUGUUGGCAGCCCCUGCAGUAACAACCCCCCUCACUCACUCUCUCCCCACAACCUGGAUGUUUCAGACCAAUUUGCUCUUGUAAGCUCAGCCAUGAGACAGUUAAUUGCAUGGCUACAAACAGGGAACCACGCACAGGACUUUAGGAAAGUCACCAGCAGGGACGAUGAAACUCUCAAAAUGGACCCAGAAGAGCUGCAAAAUGAUCAUAAUAAUGAUUUAGGUGGGCACACA